UACGUAGGGAGCAAUCGUUGUCCGGAAUCAUUGGGCGUAAAGCGCGCGUAGGUGGCCUCAUAAGUCCGCUGUGAAAGUCAAAGGCUCAACCUUUGAAAGCCGGUGGAUACUGUGGGGCUAGAGUACGGAAGAGGCGAGUGGAAUUCCUGGUGUAGCGGUGGAAUGCGCAGAUAUCAGGAAGAACACCCGUGGCUAAGGCGGCUCUCUAGUACGGUACUGACGCUGAGACGCGAAAGCGUGGGGAGCGAACAGG
rnacentral:rRNA from 1 species